AACGAACGCUGGCGGCAUGCCUAACACAUGCAAGUCGAACGAGACCUUCGGGUCUAGUGGCGCACGGGUGCGUAACGCGUGGGAACCUUCACUUAGGUUCGGCAUAACUCUCCGAAAGGGGUGCUAAUACCGGAUAAUGUCUUCGGACCAAAGAUUUAUCGCCCUUGGAUGGGCGCGCGUUGGAUUAGCUAGUUGGUACGGUAAAAGCCUACCAAGGCGACGAUCCAUAGAUGGUCUGUGAGGCUGAUCAGCCACACUGAGACUGAGACACGGCCCAGACUCCUACGGGAGGCAGCAGUGGGGAAUAUAGGAAAGUGGGCGAAGUCCUGAUGCAGCAAUGCCGCGUGAGUGAUGAAGGCCUUAGGGUUGUAAAGCUCUUUUACCCGGGAUGAUAAUGACAGUACCGGGAGAAUAAGCUCCGGCUAACUCCGUG
rnacentral:rRNA from 1 species